rnacentral:ncRNA from 2 species
UCCUGUCGGAACGGGAGAACUGGCCGCAAGGCCGGUGCCGAAGGAGCAACCGCCCCGGAAACUCUCAGGCUUCAGGACCGCCCGACAGUC